UACAGAGGGUGCGAGCGUUGUCCGGAAUCACUGGGCGUAAAGGGCGCGUAGGCGGCUUGAUAAGCGUGCGGUGAAAGCCCGGGGCUCAACCCCGGGUCGGCCGUGCGAACUGUCGAGCUGGAGCACUGUAGAGGCAGGUGGAAUUCCGGGUGUAGCGGCGGAAUGCGUAGAGAUCCGGAAGAACACCGGUGGCGAAGGCGGCCUGCUGGGCAGUGGCUGACGCUGAGGCGCGACAGCGUGGGGAGCAAACAGG
rnacentral:rRNA from 1 species